UGGGGAAUAUUGCACAAUGGGGGAAACCCUGAUGCAGCCAUGCCGCGUGUAUGAAGAAGGCCUUAGGGUUGUAAAGUACUUUCGGUGAUAGGAAGUACUUGGUCUAAUAGGCCAAGUAAUUGACGUUAAUUACAGAAGAAGCACCGGCUAACUCCGUGCCAGCAGCCGUGUAAUACGGAGGGUGCGAGCGUUAAUCGGAAUGACUGGGCGUAAAGGGCAUGUAGGCGGAUGAUUAAGUUAGGUGUGAAAUCCCCGAGCUCAACUUGGGAAUUGCAUUUAAAACUGGUCGUCUAGAGUAUUGUAG
rnacentral:rRNA from 1 species